GCAAAAUAUUAAAUGAUUGAGUAGUGUGGAAAAAAAAUAAGAUUCAAAGUCUGAUUCAGUAGUUCUCAUUAGCAUUUGACAGUAUUUAGUGAUUUGAACAGAUUUUUACUGAGUUCCCAAUGAAAGUAAGAAAUCACUGAGUACAUAAGCAUAAAAAUAAGGGCAGAAAUAUUUAAAUAUGCAAAUAUUGAGGUAGCAAUAUAGAUUAGCUCAGGAACAUUAAUAAAAUCACUAAAGAUCAAUUCAGACUAUGAUCCACUAUAGGAAGGAAAUGUUUUGCUAAAAUCUAUGGGCCAAUUUUCUCAAAUUCAAAGUAUGAUAUCUGGAUUCAAUCAUGUAAAAUUGACCUGUGUUUCUUCCCUGAGAGCAGGAUCAAGUUAUCUACCUGAUUUGGAAAAUAUGACAUGUUCAUACUCAUAUGAAUUUAAAUAGAUUUAUUGAUUGGUGGUAGUGUUAAUUAUUUCUCUGUUGUGAUUAUCAUUGUGAAAUACAGGAUUUCAUGCCCAAAGAAGCUGAAGACCAUCUUUUAUCUUUGAAGUUAUUUUAUUUGUUUUGUCUUUGAUGUCCAAUUUUACCCUCUCCUUACCACAUGCACCACAAGCUCCCUUGCAUGAGGUUUCAAAAGCAAAACUUUGUGGAUCCUUUGCUGAACCACAAGUCUCUGAGUGCUGUUGUACUCAUGUUCCACUCAGUGUUGAAGUCACAAGGUCUCUCUGUUGGUAGCUCUUCCAAAGAGAGAGAAGCUUUAUUUACCAGCCAAAUCUACACAUUUCACCAUCUUCAUGUCUGAAAUUUGAGCAUAUGUAUACAUCAUAAUUCAGAUGAGCACCAAUUUAACUUCUCUGGGCAUUUUCAUUCCUCAUUCCCACCAUAGUUUGGCUGCAGGAAAGAAUGUAGAAUUUUAAGUCCAUGAUUCUUAUCAAGGACCAUCAUAUUGAUGUGGGAGACUGCAAACUAGCUACUGAAAUGGCUCACAAGGCUCUAGUUAUCCCGUGCAAAGCACUCAACUUCCAAUUUCAAAAUAAAAUCCAUACAAUACAGUUCAGUAGCACAACAUAAACAACCUCUACGUUAGAGCUUAGCCUGAGAUGUCCAUCAUACUGUAAGCUAAUAGUCACAAUUUCCAGUAAAAAAAUCAAAAUUUCUGUCUCAGACCUUUUGUGAUAAAUACUUUCAACAGCUUCCACUACCUCUUCUUUGUAAAAUUUUUGGGUUUAUCCCUUAAUAAUAAUAAUGCUAGUGGUAUUUACCAAACCCCUAACAUUUAGAAAGGAUAGUGAGACUACUAUUAUAGUAGAUAGUGAGACCAGUAUUAUAUGUUUAGAAUCAUUAUUUUCACAGAAAUAUAAGUAAUUGUAAGCAGUACUUCCAAUCAGAAAGGUGAGACAACUACAGUUAAAGAGAGUAAGGACAACUAAAUGUACAUUGGUAAUCUUCAUUACUUUUGUAAACUAUCUCAGAGAAGCACAUAGAGGCAACAAGAUAACGAGCUUUCAAGCUUCAUGCUGAAUUUACUGCCUUUUUCCAUGUGACAUAUAAGCUCCAGCAAAGGAGAAUUUUUUUAUAUCAAGAAUGCUUCAAGAAACAUAAGGCAAGUCUGCUACCCCACUGAGUACUGUGCUUUCUGAUUUUGAAAGCUGUUUGUUAUGCUUUGAAAACAGGCACUAGUAAAGGCAGAAUUAAAUCCUCUGCUGUCAAAUGACAAAACUGGUGCAAUUUUUUUUGGCAUUGACCAAAAAAAUAAAAUUACUGAGUUUUCCUAAGUCAUUUACCAUAAAACCAUCAUCCUUUCAGAAAAAGAAUGUGCAAAAUAAACAACCUGACUUGGAUUUUUUUUUUCUGUUAUUUAACAAUUUUGGUUUUUUAAAUAACCCCUUAUUUACAAAGCCUGUGAUCAGAUAUUCCAAGUCUUGUUGUCAUUAGGGAAAGAAAAGAAUACAUUAAUUGUAGGCAGUUGCAGCAGGGAACAUCAAGCAAUUACCCGGGAGGAAUUCAACCAGCUCAGUGGUUAUGAAAAACACUGUGGAGUUUUUAAUAAACAGUUGAAGCAGAUUGCUGCUUUAAACUCUUUCUGAUGAGAUGUUCCCCUAAAGAAAAUUACACCAUCCUCAGCACCAGUCUAGCUGAAAAUAUUGUUACCUGUAACUAAUCACCAAAGCUUAAAAAAGCCGUAAACAGGCACUGGUGGUGAAAGAGCUCUCUCCAAAUUCCUGCUCAUUGCUUCCCACACAGUGUCCCUGACUUUAUCUCCUGUAGCCGUAAUGUUUGUGCAGCUGCCUAAUGAGCUCGUUGGCAGAAACGAUCCUGCCCCCUGUAACCUCACCCUUCCCUGCCCCACCCCAGUGCCUGGAUUUUGGGUUAGUCACCCAGCCUGAAUCAGCGCACGCCUUAUGUCACCAUGAAGGGAGAGAUGAAGUUCAGGGAAAGGAAAAAUGGCAUUUCACAGACAUAAUGCUGGUUUAAAGCAUGGUUUAUGAAGCUAUUGUAAACUGAUAAAAUGAUUCACAGAGCAAAGGACUGCUGGAGCACUCCAGUCCAACCUCACACUCACAGAGUUAACUUCCACAUUAGAUGAGGCUUCUGUAGAGUUUUGUAGAGAAAAACUAUUUUAUGUGCUUUUGUUGGGUUUGUUGGUUUAGCUUGCUUUUUAUUUCCCCUUUAUUCAGUUAGAAUUUCCUUUUCCUCAGCUUGUGAAUGUUAUCUAUUUCUCAUUUCUGACUGCUGAGCUCUGAGAAGAGUCUGGCUUCAUCUUCUUCAUACUAACCAGCACCCAGUGGAAGGGAAGAAUCCUUUCCUAUGACCAGCUCCCUGCAUAGUUAAUUUUACAGCCAAGUUUGCAAGUAAUAAUUAUCACAAAGACAUUUUCUAAAUUAAUAGUGUUUCAAGAAAAAUUGUUGCUUUCAUUUUACAAGUGACCUUCUUGGAAAAAAAUCUGAUUUGAAGAGUAUUUUAAUCUCUGUUUGGAGGAGAACAGAGUGGGCACUGCACAUUUUGCUAUGAAACCAUGAAAAAAUCUAUUGCUUUGUGGGAAAAAGACAUUGCCUCCAAUGCCAGGACUUUCAGCAUUUUAAAAAUUGCUUUGGGCACCAAUAGCAUAUUUUCAGUUUUGCUCAUUUUAAAGAAGUCUAAAGAAUAUUGAAUCUGUUUUGUGGUCCUUGCAUUAUUUCCCAACUGUUUGAAAACAAAAAUCUCUUUUUAUAGCCCAUCUAUUUUACUGUCAACAAUAAAGCAAAUCUGCCUCAGGAAAAGAGCUUUAAAUAUAGCUGUGGUGCUAUCAACAAGUUAGCACUUCUACAUGAAAGCAAGUCCAGUUCAUUCCAGAGUUUUGCUGCAGGAGAUAGAAAUCAGCAGUGCCAUAGCAUGAAUGCAAGCUGAGUUCUUCAUUGCUCAUUUUUGCUGGAGGGAGCUGGAGAGCUCAGAUACAUUGGAACACCUUUCUGUCUGAUAAUGUACGGCUGGGUGUGCUCCAUAUAAGUUAAAGGUUGGUGGUGAAUCCCAAAGUUUUUCAAUGCUGGGAAUGAGUGUUCAUGAAGUGUGCUGGACUCAGCUGAAUGUGGAGUUUAUCUAAAGAAAGCUUAGUUCUAAGAAGUGAGCAGGUUGGCUUUUCUCUUUGGCCCAACUGUUAGCCUAAAAUCAAAAGAAGGAAUGUAACAGCCUGGGAACACCUCAGAGCUUAAGGACACUUCAGUCCCUUGUUACUCUUAACUAGAAAAGUCUAAAGAAAGAAAUUUAUCCUUUUCCUCACUCUUGUUUUGACAGACAUGUGCCAGAUUUCCUCAUGGGCUACCCACUGCCCAAAAUUUCAGUCUGUGCUUCCAAACGGGCCCAUGGUGUGCAACAUUAAAAUUAUUGUAUGACCUCUGACAAGUUCCCACAUCACCUUUGUUCCCUAUUUUCCAGUUUCAUCUUUGUUCCUCUAGGAGUUCCCAGCAUUUAUUAACUUCCACCUUUCCAGCUGGUGAAGGAUCCUUUUCUUCCUUCCAUUAACCAAGAGUGAGUUAAAAGUCUAAAUACUAAAUACAGUGGGUUUUGAGCCCUGAAGAAAUCACUGGAGCAUUUGAAAGUAAACUUUCCUGAACUGUUGAUAUUAUUUCCAUGCCUCUCCUAAGGCCUAAUUCUAAAAUUAUAUGAUGUAUAUAUAGUUCAAAUCUGAGAUAGAUUGAACUGUCAGUGAUGAUAGCUAGUGACACUGUCUAAAAAAAAGAGGAAGUUACUUAUUCUAUGUGUUGUGUUUUAAUAUAAUCUACUUGUGUUUUCUGUUGUGAUUUUUCCCUCGAGAUUGUAACAGAUUUUAGCUCUGUCUGCUGUGAUUCUUGGUGAACUGCAUUGAAGUGAGCAGGGACAGACUCACUAUCUCCACAGAGAUUCUAAAGAAAUUUCCAGUGAAAUCACUCAUCAUCAAAUUAUUGUAAAUGUUUACAAUAAGGAAGACCAUUACAAUUGACAGUUAAAAACAGUGAUGUUCAUUCUCAGAUAACAAAAGCUAAUGAAACAAAAGCAGCAUUUUGAAUAAUGAAGAACACCACAGACAGAGAUGAAGCACUUCAUUCAGAACCCAGGUUUGUUUUUUAUUUCCAAAGAGAAUUUAUUGCAGAAUUCAAAUGGGGCAAUACUGAAUUCCAAUAGUAAAACUUCCCUUAAUUCACUGAAGGCAGCCUCUCCUGUCACAAGCAUCACUCGAAUUCCAAAACCUGUCUGGAUAGGUGAGGGGAGAGCAGCGGAAUGUUGCUCACCAGACUUCAGUAAGGUGUUUGAUGCUAUCUCCCAUGAUAUCCCCAUCGACAAAGUAAUUAAGUGAAGGUUGGACAAAGGGAUGGAGAGAUGGAUGGAGAACUGACUGAACAGCAGAGCUUAGGGGGCUUUUGAUCAGUGGCACAGAGACCUGGAUGAAAACCUGCAACAAGUGAUAUCCCCCAAGGGUUUUGAUACUGGGUCCAAUCUUGUUCAACUUAUAACUUAGAUGAAGGGGUAGAUACUGCCAGUAGGUUGACUGAUGACACAAGGCUGGAAGGAGUGGCCAAUUCCCCAGAGGGAUGUGCAGCCCUUCAGAUGGACCUCAACAGGCUGGAGAGUUGGGCAGAGAAGAACCUUCUGGAAUUCAAUGGAGGGAAAUGCAGGGUCUUGCACCUGGGGAGGAGCAGAGAUUGCACCUGCUGGAAGGCAGCUCCACAGAGAAGGAGCUAGGAGUCCUGGUGGACAAUUAGCUCUGCAUAAUUGUGCCAAGAAGGCCAAUGGAAGAGCCUUCAUUACCAGCAGGCUGAGGAAAGUGAUCCUGCCCAACUGCUCAGCCCUUGUGAGGCCACAUACACUGUGCUGUGUCUGGUUCUUGCCUCCUCACUACAACAGGGACAUGGAGAUCCUGGAGCAGGUCCACCAAAGGACCAUAAAAAUUAUUUCCUCUCAUGAGGAAAAGCUGUGAGAAGUGGGCCUAUCCAGCUUUGAGAAGAGACAACUGAGAGAAGGCAUCACCAAUGUCCGUCAGUGUCUGAAGGGAUGGUGAUGGGAGGAUGGACCGAGCUUUGUUCAGUGGUGCUGAGCAAAAGGACAAGAGCAACAGGCAGAAACUCAUGCACAGCAAGUUCCACCUGAACAUGAGGAAGUACUUCUUUAUCUUGUGGGUGACCAAGCAGUGGAACAGAUUGCCCAGAGAGAGAGUGUGGAGUCUCCUUCACUGGAGACAUUUAAAGGCCAUCAGAACAGAUGGAAGGAUAGAAUGCCCAGUGUGCAUUAUCUAAAGUUUCCAAAUAGAAGCUCUGUCUUUCCACUUACAGUGAUUUCAAAUGACGUGGAAACCUUGAAGUUCCUCUACCAACCAUCAAAGGAAAACCAGCUGGAUUAUACUGGCAAGUACCUCAGGAAGGCAGAACUAAUUGCUCCAAUUAUUACUGGAGAGCCAGGUGGGAAAUUAGAAUGUGGGGGCCAAUUGGGGAUAGAUAAAAAAUACUUCUCAGAGUUCAGAGAGGAAGCUGAUAAUACUUAGGUUUAUAAGGCUGCUGUUGUUUAUCUUGACUCAGUUUUUUAAGUUUGGGUUUUAGGCAUUAGUAGUAAGGCUAUUCCUAGCUUAAGGGGACAUGUAUAAAAUAUAGAUUUCUUUUUAAAAAACGAGAGAGGGUAAGGACUACUGCCAGUGCAUAGGCCUGACUCAUUUGCUUAAGGAUCCCUUGUGACAGAAAAGUGUAUCUGGUCUUUUAAAUUCUUAAAAUCAGCAGGCAGGCUAUCUGCAAGUGCUUUCAGUACUUGUUUUCUAUUCCCUUAUGUCCUUUUUGGCUCUGUAAUUUAGCAGCUGCUCAUGUGAGAAAUUACCCUUGCUGGUAUUUUCUGCUUUAAAUUUUGUUAGAAUUGAUUAGAAUUAUAGUGUCAAGUAGUAGCAGACCCUUGUUAGAAGGUAAUGGCAGAAAGCAAGGUUCUGAUUUUAUAUUAAAGACAGUUUAAACAAAGUCAGGUUGAAUUUCAGCCCUUUUAUUUACAGGGAUAGUAGAGAAGUUUGGCAAUUCUUCUUCUUUUAAUUAGAUAUCUUCCUGGGAAAGGAUUACAUUUUAAUCAGUAAUAUUUUAUUUUGAAAAAAACCUAAACAUUUUCUACAUGUAAAUCAGAAGGGCAACAGGGCUAUAAAAGCAAGCAUUACAGACACUAAGAAUGGGUUUUUAAAAAUAGAUUAACAUGUUUAUAUUGCUCUUGAGCAAAGACAAUGAGAAUGUGCAGCAAUUUCUUUUGCUAUGUACAUGACAUGAACUCAAAACUAAAAAAAUGCAAUUCAACCAUUGUUCAAGUCAGUGGUAAUCUGAUGAUAAAAUGCUGGUAACAUUUCAGAUUGUCUAUAUUUCUCUUUACAUCCAUGGAUCAAUAUCCAUUAGAAUCAAGUCAGCAGUCUCAUACUCAAUCAGUAAAAGACUCUCUUGAUUAAAACAAAAAUACUUGAAAUUCCAGACUUUUUCCAGGUUCUCAUACAUUUUGGUAUAUGUUAGGAUUAAAUGAGCAAAAUCCAGAAUUAUUUGAGUUGAGGGAAGGGACGUGUGGUCCCUUCCCACAACUCAAAUGUCAAAGAUAGUAUUUGACCUAAAUAGAUGAUGCUUUCUGUGGUUUUGAGAUACCAAUCUAAAAAGGUCUUAAAAGGAAUUGGUUUAAGCCUUAGUCCAGAAACCUAAAACUAUUCUCCACCGUGGUGAAAGUCACUGCUUCUGACUUGGUCAUUUACUGCUGCUCUAUAUAUUAUUCUUUGUCUGUUAUUUAUACUGCCAGGAGUCACGAAUCAUGUUACAGAAGAUAAAAAUUUUCAGUUUAGUUCAAUUCAAUAAAUUUUAAGAAAAAUUAAUAUGUACUAGUUUAUGAUCUGUAGGUAAAUUCAAGACUACUCCAGCAUGUGAAUUCACAGUUCCUCUGUCUAUUCAGUCACUUCCUGACAUAAAUAUAAAAAUGAGCCAUUGUAUGCUAUGUAAAUAUACUUGCAAUUUUCCUUGGGAAUAACAGUUCUCAGAUUCUUGCUACCCAGUACUGUACAUGUGACAUUCUCAUGUUGCUUCAGUAGUUGAAACAAUGAAAAGAAACUAAAAAGUGGAAUUUUCCUGGCACAGAGUUGCUGACCUAUCUGUUCAAAACAAAACACUGGAUGAAGUGUGUGAAAUGUGGGUGCCUGAUGCUCCUAAUCAAAGGUACAGAAGAAGGAGAGAAAUGUUUUUACUUCUGUAGCUGUCAAACACCUGAAUGGACAGCAGCUCCCAGAACACCACUUACACCGAGCAGGCAUAUCUGCAGUUUGUGUGUUGAGCCCUUCAAAAAUCUUUGUCAACUCCUUCAUAGCAAAGAGUCAUAGAAUGUUUGGGCUGGAAGGGAUCUGUAAAGAUCAUCAACCCCACCCCAUGACAGGGACACCUUCCACUAGACCAGGCUGCUCAAACCCCCAGUGUUCAACCUGUCCUUGAACGCUUCCAGGGUUAGGGCAUCCAUCACUCCUCUGGAAAACCGGAUCCAGUGCCUCACAAAUUCAAUGUAAAUCUACUCUCAGUUUAAAACCAUUGUCACUUAGGCCCUGGCAAAAAGUUUUUUCCUUUUUUUGUAAAUCCUCUUUAUCUACUUUAAGCUACAACGUCAGUCUUCUCUAGGCUGGACAACCCCAAAUCUCUCAGCCUGUCUCUAUAGGAAAGGUGCUCUGUCUCUGAUAAUUCUAAAGUAAGAAAUCUUCUCACCUGUAGUAAACCUGCUAUUUUUAGCCUGGACAAACCAGACAUCAAAGUAUAGAUUUGUGCAUAUACAAAAGCAUUUGCAAAUCUCAGUAACUGUAUCAUAAUUAUCUGUUAAUAACUUUCUUCAUCUACCCUUUUUCUCCUCCUAAACCUUUCAAGUUGGAGGUCCAAUAUUAGGGCAUUUUUCUCUGAAUAUCCUCAUAAGGAAUAACAUUAUACUUCUGAUAUUUCAACAUUGGGAUUUAAAAUAAAUCAAAAUGCUGGUUUAAGAUGUGAGAUGCAGCAAGCCCUCAUCCUGUUCUCAGUCAUAAUACAAUGAAUCCUGAGAUUUAAAGAGUGUUACUUUAGCCUCAUUUAAGAGCAAAUAAAAAUGAAUUCUUUUCUCUGAGUUUUAAUUACUCUGAAGAAUAUGGCAUUGGUUAGCUGUGCCUAUUCUGUCAGUUUGUUUCAUGCCUUGUUUUACUCAAGAGAGAUAAUCCACUUAUCACUCCUGGGUGCUCCUCUUCAGGAGAAACAGUGUGAAACAGUUUGCAAGACAAUUUGCUCCAGGGUCUAUUCUGUGCAGAAAGGAUGGAUGAAAAUUUGACUAGGGGGGUUCAAAAAGCUAUAAAGGAACAUUUACAAGUCAAAUUAUUCCCUUUCAGAGGGUCAUGCACCUUUCCAAAAUCUUAUUAGAAUGACUUCCUGGCAUGUUUAAAGGUUUCUGUAGAAUUUUAACAAUUUUUUGUCAUAAAUAAAGAUUAGAUUGCCUAUAUUAUUGAAAUACAGUGAUAAGAAAUUAAACCAUUCUGUAUUUCUUUGUUUAUUAUUUUGGCUGAUGAACCACAGAGCUCAAAAAUUAAGAAAAAAAGCUUUUUUUUAAUCUUAAACUACUCUGAAUAGAUGCAAUUAAGUCCACAGUAAAAUUUGCCUGUUAAAAUAUGAUCACAAAGUAUGUUUGGAGCUUCUUCUUGUUGUGCUUGUUUUUUGUUGUUUUUAUUUCCUUUAAUCUCUAACUUAGGCAAAUUACUAGCAUGACCAAAAAUAAAUUUAAAAAAGGAAAACUCCUGCAAGAGUUUACCAAAGUAUACUAAAUGAGAACAUAUCUCUAUCAUAUAAUUUUGUAGAAAUUCAGUAAGUAUGUGUGCACCUUUAGACUUUGAAUUAAUACAAAUCUAUUCCUUCUGUUGUCCUAUGGGAAUAUAUUUACUGGACCUUUACUAGAACAUUCUGAAAAUUUCUGUUCAGGUUCAAUCAACUGUAGAGGGAGACAGUUUCUUACUCAGAGAACGUUGUUUAAUUACACUCAAAGUAUGAGUCUCAAAGGACCAUUGGAAAGGCCGUAAAGUGAACCUUUGAGAAAUGGCUGGACAGCGAACAGAAGAUUUUGGUAUUCGGGACAUGGACUGGAGGGUAAUAAAAAAAAGAAGAAAAAAGAAAGGUAGGAAAACCUUACUGUCUUGGAAGAUUUGGGUGAGGUGCUCCACUGAUCUUGUAGAAAGAUUACAAUUUUCUGACUGAAAAUCCUCACAACAAUAAGGCCAGCCACAGAGGAUGACAGAAGCACUGUGAGUUCUCAUUCACUCAGAAAAGACUCUGACAUACUCCUAAAAGACUCUUUGCUUGAGAUGAACCUCAGUGGCUGAGGACUGAGGAAUGAUUGAGGAAUGAUAUUUUGCACAUAUACAGAAUCUUCAACAGGAGAAGAUGCAACAUUUCCAUGACAAUGCUAUUUAUAUCUAGAUAUCUUUCUCCUGUUAGAAGAAAUGGCAUCUUGGGAUUACCUAGCAAAUUCACCCUUAUAAAAUGUAUGGAAAUAUUUUCCCCAUAUAUUUUUUAAAUGGAUAAAUGGUUGGUAGGUGGAAAAUACCAUCUGGAGCUUAUUGAGCAACUGAGCAACUUCACAGGACAGAUAUACCAAUCAUGAUCUACAACUGAAUCAAGAUAUUAAUAAUGUGGUUUUAAUUAUUAGUUUCAAUCUUUACAUGGAUGAAAUUGAGUUUUUUAUAAUGUCUGUAAUACUUUAACCAUGUUAUAAGAAAUCUUUGAACAAGGUAUAUUGCACUUUCUGAAACAAUUACAGAAAUUGGCUUGCAUAACUUAAUGGAGACCACAAUAUGUAUAAUAAGAUUCACUGAAGCUUAAGAAGAUGAAGUAUUUCAUCUGCUCAGGGCAGAAUACCCACAGUAAGAUAGCAUGCAACAAUGCAUAUCAUAAAAAUAACUAAUACAGUGUCCAAGAACAAAACUCUGAUUUUUUUAUAUUAUUAAGUAGUACAAAAAUACAGACUAUGAGAAGAGAAUAUAUUCAGAGAAACAAAGAUUAUCAUAGACAGGAUCACAGUUGUUUAUAUUGACCAUUUGGUCAUGCCAGCAAAGUAAUUAGCACUCUUUUCCAAUAUUUACUUAAAACUAUCCUGAUAUAUGUUAAUAGCACAAAAACUAUUCCCAACAAAACAUUAACACAUGUGGGCAAACAAUUACAAAAUGAGCAUGUGUUCUCUGGAGAUUGCACUUAUGUAAUUGCCUAAAUUCUGUUGUCAUAUCCCCAUGAGCUGAACUCAAGCCCUGUUGCUACAGUUUGGUUUCAGGCACCCAGAAACCAAUUCUCAUUGUCAUUUUAGUAUCUCACAUUUCUUUGCCUGCAUCUACUGGUUUAAAGAUCCUCUGAGUCCCCUGCCAGAUUUGUCAGGCCUGUGUGGAUGACUUGGAUGACUAAAACAUUUCACACAGCAGUAGAACUGCGUGUUCAAUCAAUCAAAUUUGUUCUUCACCAUUUUAGAGAGAUUAACCCAAGGCUACUUUUUAUAGAAGUUAUGCCCUAAGAAUGUCUGAAAAUGUAAAAAAAAGAGUACCAGUAUGAAAAAGUUUUACAUGUAACUCUAAGUCAUUAUUUGCAAAUAAGAGUACAAAUACCAGCUAUGGGAAAUCUGUACAGUUAAUGAAAAGUGGGAAUGAAUAUUUGCUUCCACUUAACUCCAGGGCUCAUCUGGUCCAAAACACAGGUAAGUGAACUAAAGAAAAUGCAUGGUUUUAAGAUUGUAGUUUUCUUUUAUUCAUCUAUAAAAAGAAUGCCAAAAUAAAUCUGUAAUUCUGAAGUAAUUCUCAGUUAAUAGUAAGUUCCUCUAAAUUCUGAACUACUUUCCCAAAACAUAAUUACAUUUACAUGGUGAAACUCAAAUGCUCUUGAUUGUUUUCCAGCUUUUAGUUUAACUUAUCCUUUUAAACUGACCUUUCCCCUCUUAGUCGGCUGGAAAUCAGACACUGAAAUCCAGGCUGACUGCACCAGCCUCUCUCAAUGGCAAAAAACACUCAAUGAGAACCAGUCAUUUUAUCAGAAUAGGAGUUGUAACACUUAGAGCUCCCAAGGUAGCAGAGGUGAAUUGCAUUGUAAGAGAAAAUUAGGAAAUUGCAGCUCUUAAGUCAUUUGCAAAUUUUGAAGACAAGAAGAAACAUAACUUUGGAAAGGUAAUUUCAGACCAAACGUUACACACACAUCUUUCAGAAUGUUUCAAAAGGUGGUUUGGGUAUUGUUUGGUUUAUUGUUACUUGGAUUUGUUUGGGUUUGGCGUUAAUUAAUAACACCAAUAAGAAAUGAAAAUAUUUUGUAUUUUUAGGCUCUGAAAUUUAGGA